rnacentral:rRNA from 1 species
UACAGAGGUCUCAAGCGUUGUUCGGAUUCAUUGGGCGUAAAGGGUGCGUAGGCGGCGGGGCAAGUCUGAUGUGAAAUCCCGGGGCUCAACCCCGGAACUGCACUGGAUACUGCUCUGCUAGAGAUCUGGAGAGGAGACUGGAAUUUACGGUGUAGCAGUGAAAUGCGUAGAGAUCGUAAGGAAGACCAGUGGCGAAGGCGAGUCUCUGGACAGAUUCUGACGCUGAGGCACGAAGGCCAGGGGAGCAAACGGG